rnacentral:rRNA from 1 species
GUACACGCUGUGACUAGCAUAUCAAUAAGCGGAGGAAAAGAAACUAACAAGGAUUCCCUCAGUAACGGCGAGUGAAGCGGGAAGAGCUCAAAUUUGAAAUCUUGAAAGGUCACCUUUCACGAAUUGUAGUUUAAAGAAGUGUUUUCUGUUACGAUCGUAAUAUAAGUUCUUUGGAAUAGGACAUCAUAGAGGGUGAGAAUCCCGUCUAUUGACCAUUGGAUUUGUCAGCUUUGUGAUACACUUUCAAAGAGUCGGGUUGUUUGGGAAUGCAGUCCAAAAUGGGUGGUAAAUUUCAUCUAAAGCUAAAUAUUGGCGAGAGACCGAUAGCGAACAAGUACCGUGAGGGAAAGAUGAAAAGAACUUUGAAAAGAGAGUUAAACAGUACGUGAAAUUGUCAAAAGGGAAGCGUUUGACACCAGUGUUGUUUUCUCGAAAAUCAAUUAAAAAUGGCUCGAUUUUGUAUCGCUUGAGACCUUAAAAGCUCACUGUACAUUUUUCGUGUCCUUUUUAAUGCACUUUUCGUUUAACAAGUCAACAUCAGUUUCUUUUGUUGUAAAAGGGUCAUUGGAAGGUGGCUUUCUUUUCGGAGAAAGUGUUUAUAGCCUUUGGCCUCUGCAAUCGGAGAGACUGAGGUCUGCAGCGUAGACUCUUCGGGGUUAGAUACAUUUGUGCUAAGUUAUAGCUUUUUAUAGACAACUUGUUGACUAUAAUUAGUCUUGUAGCUUACUCGCUUAUGCUAUUUUACCUACGCUUAGGAUGUUGAGUAGCGACAUACGCAC